GAUUAGAGUUUGAUCCUGGCUCAGAACGAACGCUGGCGGCAGGCUUAACACAUGCGAGUCGAACGUCCCGCAAGGGGCGUGGCAGACGGGUGCGUAACGCGUGGGAACAUACCUUUCGGUUCGGAAUAACCCAGGGAAACUUGGGACAAUACCAGAUACGUGCGAGAGCAGAAAGAUUUAUCGCCGAAAGAUUGGCCCGCGUCCGAUUAGCUAGUUGGUGAGGUAACGGCUCACCAAGGCGACGAUCGGUAGCUGGUCUGAGAGGAUGAUCAGCCACACUGGGACUGAGACACGGCCCAGACUCCUACGGGAGGCAGCAGUGGGGAAUAUUGGACAAUGGGCGCAAGCCUGAUCCAGCCAUGCCGCGUGAGUGAUGAAGGCCCUAGGGUUGUAAAGCUCUUUCGCCAGGGACGAUAAUGACGGUACCUGGAUAAGAAGCCCCGGCUAACUUCGUGCCAGCAGCCGCGGUAAUAAU
rnacentral:rRNA from 1 species